rnacentral:rRNA from 1 species
UACGGAGGAUGCAAGCGUUAUCCGGAAUGAUUGGGCGUAAAGCGUCCGCAGGUGGCUGUGUAAGUCUGCUGUCAAAGAGCAAAGCUCAACUUUGUAAAGGCAGUGGAAACUACACGGCUAGAGUGCGUUCGGGGCAGAGGGAAGUUCCUGGUGUAGCGGUGAAAUGCGUAGAUAUCUGGAGGAACACCGGUGGCGAAGGCGGCAUCCUGGACCGGUAUUGACGCUGAGGCGCGAAAGCCAGGGGAGCAAACGGG